UACGUAGGGUGCGAGCGUUGUCCGGAAUUAUUGGGCGUAAAGAGCUCGUAGGCGGUUUGUUGCGUCGGCCGUGAAAACCUGCAGCUUAACUGUGGGCCUGCGGCCGAUACGGGCAGACUUGAGUUCGGUAGGGGAGACUGGAAUUCCUGGUGUAGCGGUGAAAUGCGCAGAUAUCAGGAAGAACACCGAUGGCGAAGGCAGCUCGCUGGAACGGUACUGACGCUGAGGCGCGAAAGCGUGGGGAGCGAACAGG
rnacentral:rRNA from 1 species